GACCUCAAAUCAGGUAAGAACACCCGCUGAACUUAAGCAUAUCAAUAAGCGGAGGAAAAGAAAAUAACAAUGAUUCCCCUAGUAACUGCGAGUGAAGAGGGAUAAGCUCAAAUUUUAAAUCUAUCGGGUUUUACCUGAUCGAGUUGUAAUUUGAAGAGGCGUUUUCUGCGUGUUUGGUCAGCCUAAGUCCUAUUGAAUGAGGCAUCAUGGAGGGUGAUAAUCCCGUCCGGUUGAUCAUUUGCGUUUUACGAUACGCUUUCUAAGAGUCAAGUUGUUUGGGAUUGCAGCUUAAAAUGGGAGGUAAAUUUCUCCUAAGGCUAAAUAACGGCGAGAGACCGAUAGCGAACAAGUACCGUGAGGGAAAGAUGAAAAGAACUUUGAAAAGAGAGUUAAACAGUACGUGAAAUUGUUGAAAGGGAAACGAUUGAAGCCAGUCGUACCUUCGGGUAAUCAGCCUUUCGGGUGCGAUUCUGUGGAGUGUGAGGAGCUUAACACCUUCAUGCUUUGCAUAUUUGUGCUCUUGGGUGUACUUGCCCGUGUGGUUGGUUAACAUCAAUUUUGGUUAUCAUAAAAUGAUUGGAGGAAUGUAGCUUCGAUCUUGUAUUGAAGUGUUAUAGCCUUCGGUAAAUGUGAUGAACGAGAUUGAGGAUUGCAACGGAUACCCUUCGGGGCUACCUGUCUGGUCUCUGAUCGUUGCUCUGGUGCCGAAAGCUUGCUUACGGUCAUCAAAGUCGAUGGUCAAUAGGUUAGAACGGGUUAAAUUCGUUAAGGAUGUUGACGUAAUGGCUUUAAACGACCCGUCUUGAAACACGGACCA
rnacentral:rRNA from 1 species